GACGAACGCUGGCGGCGCGCUUAACACAUGCAAGUCGAGCGAGAUCCAGGCCUUCGGGCCUGGGGACAGCGGCGAACGGGUGAGUAACACGUGGGUAAUCAACCCUCGACACUGGGAUAGCCCGGGGAAACCCGGAUUAAUACCGGAUGGCCCUUUGGAUCUUCGGAUCUGACGGGAAAGGUAGCUUCGGCCUCCGGUCGAGGACGAGCCCGCGGCGGAUUAGCUUGUUGGUGAGGUAACGGCUCACCAAGGCGACGAUCCGUAGCUGGUCUGAGAGGACGAUCAGCCACACUGGGAGUGAGGCACGGCCCAGACUCCUACGGGAGGCAGCAGUGGGGAAUCUUGCGCUAAUGCGGGAAACCGUGACGCAGCGACGCCGCGUGAGGGAAGAAGGCCUUCGGGUUGUAAACCUCUUUCAGGAGGGACGAAGCCACUCGGGUGAAUAGCCCAGAGGGUGACGGUACCUCGAGAAGAAGCCCCGGCUAACUACGUGCCAGCCGCCGCGGUAA
rnacentral:rRNA from 1 species